rnacentral:rRNA from 1 species
AGAGUUUGAUCAUGGCUCAGAUUGAACGCUGGCGGAAUGCUUUACACAUGCAAGUCGAACGAUGAACCUUAGCUUGCUAAGGGGAUUAGUGGCGAACGGGUGAGUAAUAUAUCGGAACGUGCCUUGUAAUGGGGGAUAACUAGCCGAAAGAUUAGCUAAUACCGCAUACGCCCUGAGGGGGAAAGUAGGGGAUCUUCGGACCUUACGUUAUAAGAGCGGCCGAUAUCUGAUUAGCUAGUUGGUGGGGUAAUGGCCUACCAAGGCGACGAUCAGUAGCUGGUCUGAGAGGACGACCAGCCACACUGGAACUGAGACACGGUCCAGACUCCUACGGGAGGCAGCAGUGGGGAAUUUUGGACAAUGGGCGAAAGCCUGAUCCAGCCAUUCCGCGUGAGUGAAGAAGGCCUUCGGGUUGUAAAGCUCUUUCGCAAGGGAAGAAAACUUACAUUCUAACAAAGUGUGAGGCUGACGGUACCUUGAUAAGAAGCACCGGCUAACUACGUGCCAGCAGCCGCGGUAAUACGUAGGGUGCGAGCGUUAAUCGGAAUUACUGGGCGUAAAGCGUGCGCAGGCGGUUUGGCAAGUCAGAUGUGAAAUCCCCGAGCUCAACUUGGGAACUGCGUUUGAAACUGCCAGACUAGAAUAUGUCAGAGGGGGGUAGAAUUCCACGUGUAGCAGUGAAAUGCGUAAAGAUGUGGAGGAAUACAAUGGCGAAGGCAGCCCCUGGGAAAAAUAUUGACGCUCAUGCACGAAGCGUGGGGAAGCAAAAAGAUAAGAUACCUGGUAGUCCCCGCCCUAAACGAUUGUCUACUAGGUUGUUGGUGGAAGUAAAUCCAUGGGGUACCCCAGCUAACGCUGAAGUAGACCGCCUGGGAGAAACGGUCGCCAAGAAUAAACUCAAAUGAAUUGACGG